GAUAACGUCCGGGCAGGAGCCGCGGGAAUACGAAGGGUGCUAGGGUUGUUGGGAAUGACGGGGCGUAAAGGGCGCGUAGGCGAGUGGUCAAGGCAGGCGUGAAAGCCCCGGGCGAAGCCUGGGAACAGCGCUAGAGACUGGCACGCUCGAGGUCGGGAGAGGAUGGUGGAAUUCCCAGUGUAGAGGUGAAAUGCGUAGAUAUGCGGAGGAACACCGAUGGCGAAGGCAAUCCCCUGGGCCUGCACUGACGCUCAUGCACGAAAGCGUGGGGAGCAAACAGGAUUAGAUACCCGGGUAGUC
rnacentral:rRNA from 1 species